rnacentral:lncRNA from 1 species
GGUAGAGACUUGGGCCCAGGAAGUAGCUUCUCGGGCACUGGCCGAGUUUCGGGAGUCUCAAGAGUAUGAGGAUGAGGUCGUCAAAGGCUCCGCGGUUGUCUACCGACUUGGGUUCGAGGACUGUAAGAAGGCCAUCGAUCGUCUGUAGCCCAAAUUGGACUUGAGCACACUGCAACUGGAGAAUUCUCUUAGAAAAGAAGGCUCGGAGAGCAAUGAGGAAGCAAGCGAUGCAGAAGGCCAUCCUCCAACUCCUUAAAUCUUUUGUCUUUUGUUCUGUAUUUUUAUUUUUGCUCCUUAGCUAUGUACCGAACUCUUUUCUGUAAUAAAAAGAUCUCC